GUGACAUCUGUCGGAAUUCCCGGCGGCAACGGAGCAAUCCCAGAAGUGGAACGUCGUGGAUAUAGACUAAUGAAAAAGUGACCAGGGUGCUUAUUCAGAUAUGAGGCAGACAUGUUAAACCGCCAUCAGAUUAAUGUAAAGGUGUGCAUUGCCGAAAGGGGCUUAGAAUUCUCAUACAAUUGCGUAAAACCCAGUCAAUCUCAUAGCCUUUAUAUCAGAGUAUAUUUUCACUGAUUUCCCAAGGCUCUAAAGACCAGCAGCUUGUUUUCCCAAAAGUAUCUUAAUGUUGAGAUAAUUGUCAAAUUAAUUUCAUGCAGCUUGUUCUAAGUGCAGGUUGUUUUAGGUCCCAGUAAACCCAUUUAGUGGUAAUAAACUGGAGAAGUAGCUGACGUGUGCAAGUGUGCUUUUGUUCCCUCUUGCGUUGAGUUGAACUAUGAUGCACUGUGCUAUGUCACGUUUUUAGAGGAUGUCAUGGGGAAACAAAAAUGCAAUGCAACAAAUCACAAUGCUGAAGGAAAGUAAUUAAUCAAAACGAGCUUGAGCACUAAGACAAAAGGUAUCUGGGAAAUACUCUGUACACAAGAAAUGUCAAGAUCCAAACAGCAUUUUGCCAAGAAAUUCACUGAGUGCAUUCAUGCUGCGAAGAGAAUUGACCUUUACUAGAUUACAAACAAGAUAUCACAAAUUUAAAUCUUGUUUUUCCUUCAUGCUGUGGAUUUCUUUGGUCCACAGAGGUCAAUCCCAGUAGCACCAACAUCAGGAUCAACAUCAAAAUCUAUCAGGCAGAUUACUGUGAAAUUGACAGAUUUGGGCUGUUUUGUGGUCUUACUAAUACUGUAUCACCCCCCUGGUGGCUGGCUGCAGUACAGGUCAUAAAUCCCGCCCCUCCUUGUUAGCGUAUGAGACAUGGGCCAAACUAAAAAGAACAAAAGUACAAUUCAAAUACAUUUUUCCCAAAGUUGGUUUGCGGCAGUUAAGGUAUAUUACGCUGAUCAUGCUGUUUGCUCAAGUGUUCUGAUUAGUUUGGUUUUUAUUAGUUAUUUUAAGAAGAAACAAAACGGGUUGAAACAUUAUGAUUGACAGCUAUGAUUGACUCGCAAUUGGUCGUGUGGGUGUAUGGGCGGGACUUUCAUACCGCAGCUCCACCGCCCGAUCAGACUCUGGCUCCAAAAUUACAAGAUGGCGGCGCCUGUAUCCGAGGUAUUUUGGCUUCACUUUUGUACAGUGGGAGAAAGUAGAGACGCGGCGUCCAUCUUUAUAUACACUCUAUGGGAACAACUGCAUUGGCCGUUUGCAGCUAAAAAAACAUGGUUCAGCAGUGAAUUGUGCGCAAAUGAUGCAAGGUGAAAAAUAAGCUUCGCUGUCUGUCUCAACACACAUUUACACCAACAUUUCCACUUUCACACAAGAUAUAUAAUAAUGUAACAGACAUUUACUGAACACUGCUCCUCAGAGGAUUAACCCUUUUAAAUGCGUUGACACAGUGUGUCAUUGUUAUAUAGAGUUAUAUAGUGUCAUCCUUUGGUCAAUAUUUUCAUUUUUAGCUGGCAGAAAGAGAGAAUAGCACUUUUUGCAUUCAAUUUUAGGAGGUGUAGUGAACGAAGAUUUGAUCUAUAAUGGCCAUAGAUGGAUGGAUGGAAGAUAGAUAGAUUGAUUGAUUGAUUGAUUGAUUGAUUGAUUGAUUGAUUCCUGGCUUCAUCUAACCACUACACCUCUUUAUCCAUUUUUCUGGGUUUUGUUUCCUCAGUCUUUUCUCACCAGAUUGCCUCCCCCACCUUUUUCCAUCUGUGUGUGUGUGUGUGUGUGUGUGUGUGUGUGUGUGUGUUUGUGAGCAGUUGGCCUACAGCAAACACACUUCAUGCCAAACCAUCUGGGCCUUAAAUCUGUCCAACACAAAAAACGCUUUAGUUGCAAAACUAACACACACACACACACACACACACACACACACACACACACAUAUGCAUACACUGAUGGUUGGAGUUAAUUCCGAUUAUGUUUUGACUCCUUUUUUUUAUUUUAUUAAUAGUCUGUAACUAUAUAUGUCAUCUGAAGUGUUCUGUAUCUGAUGUUUUGCACAAAGCUUCCUCACAUUUGUGCCAAAAAAGAUGAGGACAUUUCAAUAAUUCAGUGUUUUUUUUUCUCUGUUGAAAGUAGAUGCAGCAUUCACUUCCGUACAUUGACUUUGCAUGCAUACUCACAGCGCCAUCUUUAAAAUAUUAAUGAAUCUGUGCUCCCAAAAACAUCUCAAGUGGAGUCCUCCUCCUUCCUGUUGAUGAAGUCUUCGUAGGUGGCUUUCUUUCUCUUUGUCCCCACCACACUUCUUCUCUCCUCAUUCCCAACAAAAUGAACAUGUAAAAUGCAUCACAGCACAGAGGAUUUUCCCAGGACACGCCUCACAGACACUCACUGAAUUUUUAUUACUGUAAUAUCCACUCCGAUCCCCAGAGUCAAAUAAUGUCUUCUUCUUUUCCAGCCGCAUUUUCACACAUGCAAACGUAGACGAUGGAAGUGUGAAAAAGGGAUGUACAGAUGGAAGAAGAGAGAAGGUUUAGGCCAUGAGUGGUGAUAAAGAGAGAAUAGUCUGGUUAAUUUGGUGUCAGGGUAUUGACUAUGUUCUCUGUGCCGCCUGGCUUGGUUGUAUUGUUCACACAGAGUGAUUGGGGAAUUGUGUGUGUGUAUAUGUGUGUGUAUGUUUCUGUGUGGUAAAGUACAACAGCACUGCAGAAAAUUACCUUGUAGGCUCCUGGCGGUUGUCUGCAGCAUGAAAGGAGCCUCCCUUUUCUUCUCUUGCCUCCUUCCCGUCAUUAGGGUGUGCACUGCGUCUAAAAUGGCAGGUGUAAGUGGUAACUGUGUGUGUGUACUUGCAUGCUUGCUUUAUGUAAUAAUGUGUGCUUGCUCGCUGGGUGCUAAAGCAGUGUGUACUCAUUGUUCUGGCAUCGCGUUCCCUCUUGAUACACCUCUCCGGCAACAUUUUCUUUUCAUAAACACUCGUAUAGCUUCUCCUAAACACAAAACAGCUGCUCUUUUUCCCCUCUUUUCUUUUCUUUCUAUUUCCUCUUUGUCUAUGCAAUCCCUCUCUAGCACAUUUAACAUGCCAGCUUCACCUUUUUUUAAUUCCUCUCUCUGUCUCGUGGGUGCUUAUCAGUAUCGUUCACGUUUUCCCUGCUUUACCAGAGCAGUCAAGGUAUUUGCAUUUCAAAUGAGAAAUGUACUUGUCUGACAUGCAAAUUAUUGGAUGUGAAUCAUGCAUCUAUAGCAGGCUGCUAACAUAGCAGCAGGACCUGCCCAAACCAACGCACUGAAACACUGAAAAGGCAGGGAGGAUGUUUGAGGAUUCCACUAGACCAUUAUCAUGGUAAAUGCAGCCAUUUUGGGUAUCACAGGUAGUGUUGGACGUCAGUGCCCAUUUUAUUUUAUUUUAGCUUUAAGCUGCCAUUUGCCAAUUUUUUGUGCUUAUUCAUUAUCUUAACUCAAUAGUCCACCAAAGUCCCCCCAUUGGCUCUGAAAAGGUUGCUUUUAUAAAGAAAAGGCAUCUGCUUUCAAAUUUUCAGUGGCGACCCAGAAAAAGAACGUGUCACAACACAUCAAAAUAAGAAUAAAUUUGUCAAAUCACUCCUGCCGCAUAAAUUAGCCUACUUGUCUGUCAUUCAUCUUGAAGUUCCAAACAAUUGUUUUUGCUAGAAAAUGACUGUACAGCAUACGCUACUGAGGUUGUCAGCAGACAAGAGUUUUGCAAUCUGACAAAUCUGACAAAAGUCUCAGGGUUGGAACAUGCUCCCCCUGACGCACGUAACUGAACAGGCAUGCGGCCAUUUGGAGAUGUUCGCAUGGCUUUCUUUUAAACUUUUUUAUUGGCUUCUGCUACUCUGUAGAUCCUGUGCGACUAAAUCGUGAUUUAUGCUUCUGCGAAGGCUCCACGCAGAGCUUUCACUGUAGCCUACGUAAGUUUAUACUAUGUGCGUUGGUCUGUGCGUCGAUGUCUUUAAGAGAAUAGCAGGGCCGGCAUGUGUGUGUGUGGGGAGUGUGUGGUAGAGCGAGUGAGAGAGUGACGGCAAUUAGCUUCAGAGCAAGUAGCGACUCUAGAGGCAUAGUGAGAGAAACAAAGUGUCCCCUGCAGAGGCCUUAAAGUGUAUCUUCAGAGAACCUUAAUUCAAGACUAAUCAGACAUACAGAAAUGUGUGGCUUAAACUUAUUUUAGACUCUUAGCCCAAACCAUCAUUGACUCCCAUUUAAAAAAAAAA